GAUGAACGCUGGCGGCGUGCCUAAUACAUGCAAGUCGAGCGAACAGACGAGGAGCUUGCUCCUCUGACGUUAGCGGCGGACGGGUGAGUAACACGUGGAUAACCUACCUAUAAGACUGGGAUAACUUCGGGAAACCGGAGCUAAUACCGGAUAAUAUAUUGAACCGCAUGGUUCAAUAGUGAAAGACGGUUUUGCUAUCACUUAUAGAUGGAUCCGCGCCGCAUUAGCUAGUUGGUAAGGUAACGGCUUACCAAGGCGACGAUGCGUAGCCGACCUGAGAGGGUGAUCGGCCGCACUGGAACUGAGACACGGUCCAGACUCCUACGGGAGGCAGCAGUAGGGAAUCUUCCGCAAUGGGCGAAAGCCUGACGGAGCAACGCCGCGUGAGUGAUGAAGGUCUUCGGAUCGUAAAACUCUGUUAUUAGGGAAGAACAAAUGUGUAAGUAACUAUGCACGUCUUGACGGUACCUAAUCAGAAAGCCACGGCUAACUACGUG
rnacentral:rRNA from 1 species